rnacentral:lncRNA from 1 species
UGAAUACAGAAAUGAACACACUGAAAUAUUUUCAUGCAUUGCCUCAGAGGAAGGGUGACCGAAGGAGAGCUCGAGAAACGGAAAGAGAAUGAGAACAGAGAGAGGAAUGUAUUUCAACCCACAAGAUAUACAUCAGAAAUACAUGGUGUUUUUUUCAAUGGAAGCAAAUAUUUAAAGAUGUUAACUUUUUUUCAGAUAAAGAAAAGCAUACAAAAUAUUUAUUGCUGCAUUUCCGUGCCUUCUCCACAAUAUUGAGGCCUGAAUUAGGUAGGUAGUUGAAAUCUCUCUAAAAGUGAGUCAGAUAUUGUGUCCGGAAUUGGUGGGUUCUUGAUCGCACUGACUUCAAGAAUGAAGCCGUGGACCCUCGCGGUGAGUGUUACAGCUCUUAAGGUGGCGCGUCUGGAGUCUGCCCCUUCUGAUGUUCAGAUGUGUUCGGAGUUUCUUUCUUCUGGUGGGUUCGUGGUCUCUCUGGCUCAGGAGUGAAGCUGCAGAUCUUCGCGGUGAGUGUUACAGCUCUUAAGGUAGCGUGUCUGGAGUUGUUCAUUUCUCCCUGUGGGCUCGUGGUCUUGCUGGGCUCAGGAGUGAAGCUGUAGAUCUUCGCAGUAAGUGUUACAGCUCAUAAAAGCAGCAUAGACCCAGAGUGAGCAGUAGCAAGAUUUAUUGCAAAGAGCGAAAGAACAAAGCUUCCACAGUGUGGAAGGGGACCCGAGCGGGUUGCCAAUGCUGGCUCGGGCAGCCUGUUUUUAUUCUUAUCUGGCCCCACCCACAUCCUGCUGAUUGGUAGAGCCGAGU